rnacentral:misc_RNA from 1 species
GCACCUUCUUCCUCUGUGGCUCCCAUCCUGCAACUACUCAUUUGAUGUGCAGAAACGAGCAUGGUCCAGUGCUCCUCCAUCGAUCUUAGCCCACCAGGUAGUGUUACUGUGUCCAAGAACUCUUCCAAAUCUUUCUCCUUAAUUCCUUUACAUGCAAUCCUUUGGCCACCAUCACUACGGCAAGUGCCUACUUCCACAGCUCCAGCACCAACUGAAAUUCUUAAAGCUUCCCUCAACCCAAUUCUAAGAUUGUCUUUAUCCAACUGGUCUAGACGGUGACUAAUUCUGCCCUCCACUUUCACUUCUCCUGAACCUU